GAUGAACGCUGGCGGCGUGCCUAAUACAUGCAAGUCGAGCGAACAGACGAGGAGCUUGCUCCUCUGACGUUAGCGGCGGACGGGUGAGUAACACGUGGAUAACCUACCUAUAAGACUGGGAUAACUUCGGGAAACCGGAGCUAAUACCGGAUAAUAUAUUGAACCGCAUGGUUCAAUAGUGAAAGACGGUUUUGCUGUCACUUAUAGAUGGAUCCGCGCCGCAUUAGCUAGUUGGUAAGGUAACGGCUUACCAAGGCAACGAUGCGUAGCCGACCUGAGAGGGUGAUCGGCCACACUGGAACUGAGACACGGUCCAGACUCCUACGGGAGGCAGCAGUAGAGAAUCUUCCGCAAUGGGCGAAAGCCUGACGGAGCAACGCCGCGUGAGUGAUGAAGGUCUUCGGAUCGUAAAACUCUGUUAUUAGGGAAGAACAAAUGUGUAAGUAACUAUGCACGUCUUGACGGUACCUAAUCAGAAAGCCACGGCUAACCACGUG
rnacentral:rRNA from 1 species